UACGUAGGGUGCAAGCGUUGUCCGGAAUUAUUGGGCGUAAAGAGCGUGUAGGCGGCCUGGUAGGUCAGCUGUGAAAACUCGAGGCUCAACCUCGAGACGUCGGUUGAAACCACCUGGCUAGAGUCCGGAAGAGGAGAGUGGAAUUCCCGGUGUAGCGGUGAAAUGCGCAGAUAUCGGGAAGAACACCCGUGGCGAAGGCGGCUCUCUGGGACGGUACUGACGCUGAGACGCGAAAGCGUGGGGAGCGAACAGG
rnacentral:rRNA from 1 species